rnacentral:lncRNA from 1 species
GGGAGUGGAAGGUGGGGGGAAAGUAAGGCAGAACAUUUCAGCGAAGGCGAAAACUGCUUUUGGAAAAUGGGUCAGCAGCUAAAAAGUAAGGCCAGGCAGGCGACAGCUCUGAACGACUUACCUUAGCACCACCACGGACAGACAGACCGGCUGACGGGGUGGUCGUGCUCUCUCCUUCUCACACUCCACCUUGGGUCGCUCCCGCCUCCCUCCUCCCUCUCCAGGCCCAGGUAAGCGGUCGAACAAGCUCUGAAGCAGGAAGUGGAAGUUGUAUGCAAAUUUCUACGGAGGCUAGGAAGCCUCUGCCGAGAAAAUCUCCCUGUGGGCAGUGAAUCAACAGCUGAGAAGUCACUUUAUUUCUUAAAACAGAAACCUCCUUCAUUCACUAAAAAAGGCCACUGACUGACCAAUUGGGGUGCAUUUUUGUUUCCACCACCCAGCUAAGUAACUGCGGAGGAAUGCCCGCACUGCCCUGGACCUCGGUGCUACUGCCGCGCCCCGGCCCUAGACAAGGUGUCUGGAGAGGGAUUGGAUUUGGGUGUUAAGAUUGGUUAUUCAUUAGCUGCUCCAAAAGAGGAGAUUAGGGGCAGAUAGCGGGGUGGAGUGUGAGUCAAGAGCUUCUUACUAUCUCUGUUUAAACGUCAGCAUUUGCUGCCCUUGCUCAUGUGGGGGCAGGACUCACUGCCCAUCCCCAUGUGAGCCUGCGUGCGUGCACACACGUGCAUGCACACAAGCACAAGUAUGCAUGCACUGUCCUCCUUUGGCUGCGUUUUUCAUGACCUCAAGUUUAUUUCCUCUCCUUCCUUCUCCUUGUUUAAUCCAUAGACUGGAGAAUUUAUUGUCAAAGGAAGCACAUGAUGGGAGCUGUGGCCGCUAGAGCUCUGGAGUCUGAGGGAUGUGGGUGUGAACUCAGUUCCGCCACUGGCCGACUGGGCACCACAGCCAGAUGCCUGGGCAGGCACACUGUGCUCCUGGUGCUGGCCUUGCCUGCCCGUUGAAGAGUCCCAAGGGUCAGCACACGCUGCCAGCCAUCUCUCCACCCUUGUGCAGGGGACAGGUCCCGGAGCAGCCCCAUCCACACUGCCAGGUUCUGCUCAAGUAGGUCACACGAAGUGGGUUGCUCUACACUGCAAGCAAAGGAAACACGGCUUGUUUUUAAAAUAACGUAUAACAGGUUGCAUAUAUUUUGGUAUAUCCUUGUGAUGGAAUACUAUGCAGCUGUGAAAAAUAAUAAAUAUGUGUGUAUAUAUUUCUACAUUCUAACGUGC